rnacentral:lncRNA from 1 species
AGGGGUCGAAGCCAUUGCACACAAAAACGAAGACAGAAUGAGAAACUUUAAACAAACCUUCCACGGAGAUCGGUGAAAGCAAAGCACAAACUCCAUAGAAAAACGAACACACAAAAUGAAAUCAAAAUGAAAACCCUAAAAAUGGAGGUGGGAGAAGAGAGUGCGAAGGAGAGAGAACGUAAAUUUCAAAAUGAAAUCCCUAGGAGUGAGAAGAGAGUGUUAUGGAUAGAGGAUGGAGUGCGAAAAUGAAGGAGGGGUAGUUUCGAAUCCAUCCCUAAACCCCAUCCAAAUCAGAUUUUUAAAUUAAAACUAACAUUCAAAAUGGACCAAUUAAAACAUUACACAUGGCGUUGUCAAAUGCGUUGUUAGAAUAUCGCGAUCCUUAAAAAUAUGAGUAGUGGUACGUUGACACGCCCACGUGGCAUGCACAUUCAAAUGACACGGAUUCUUUUAAUUUUUUUUCCAAAACUAACCUUUUACUUUUAAU